CACGGGGGGAGCAAGCGUUGUUCGGAAUCACUGGGCGUAAAGGGCGUGUAGGCGGUUAGGUAAGUGGGAUGUGAAAUCCCCCGGCUCACCCGGGGACCUGCAUCCCAAACUGCCUGGCUUGAGUAUGGGAGAGGAUGGAGGAAUUCCUGGUGUAGCGGUGAAAUGCGUAGAUAUCAGGAGGAACACCGGUGGCGAAGGCGUCCAUCUGGCCCAAUACUGGCGCUGAGGCGCGAAAGCUAGGGGAGCGAACGGG
rnacentral:rRNA from 1 species